rnacentral:rRNA from 1 species
AGUGAACGCUGGCGGUAGGCCUAACACAUGCAAGUCGAACGGCAGCACAGUAAGAGCUUGCUCUUACGGGUGGCGAGUGGCGGACGGGUGAGGAAUACAUCGGAAUCUACUUUUUCGUGGGGGAUAACGUAGGGAAACUUACGCUAAUACCGCAUACGACCUACGGGUGAAAGCAGGGGAUCUUCGGACCUUGCGCGAUUGAAUGAGCCGAUGUCGGAUUAGCUAGUUGGCGGGGUAAAGGCACACCAAGGCGACGAUCCGUAGCUGGUCUGAGAGGAGGAUCAGACACACUGGAACUGAGACACGGUCCAGACUCCUACGGGAGGCAGCAGAGGGGAAUAUUGGACAAUGGGAGCAAGCCUGAUCCAGCCAUACCGCGUGGGUGAAAGAGGCCUUCGGGUUGUAAAGCCCUUUUGUUGGGAAAGAAAAGCAGCAGGUUAAUACCCCGCUGUUCUGACGGUACCCAAAGAAUAAGCACCGGCUAACUUCGUG